UACGUAGGGUGCAAGCGUUGUCCGGAAUUAUUGGGCGUAAAGAGCUCGUAGGCGGUCUGUCACGUCGGCUGUGAAAUCCCGAGGCUCAACCUCGGGUCUGCAGUCGAUACGGGCAAACUAGAGUAUUGCAGGGGAGACUGGAAUUCCUGGUGUAGCGGUGAAAUGCGCAGAUAUCAGGAGGAACACCGGUGGCGAAGGCGGGUCUCUGGGCCACUACUGACGCUGAGAAGCGAAAGCAUGGGGAGCGAACAGG
rnacentral:rRNA from 1 species